AUUGUGCAUACAAUACGAUCUCAUAUUGAUUAUUAAUUAAGGAUGCGUUCUUCAAGGGAUCCAGUGCAGUUUGUAGCUGCUCCCUCGUCGAGCCGGCCGGAGCUUGGCACAGCGCCGCUCCAGAGGCAUGAAUAUGCUGUCCGUCCGCCAGCUGAAGCCUACCCUGGAAUUCUGGACCGGAUUGGAAGGGCAACAGACCUUGUGUAUGGAAUGGAGGAGGUCUUAUUCGAUAAUGGUGUUGUAGGCCAGAAUCGCAC